rnacentral:rRNA from 1 species
UGGGGAAUUUUGGACAAUGGGGGAAACCCUGAUCCAGCCAUCCCGCGUGUGCGAUGAAGGCCUUCGGGUUGUAAAGCACUUUUGGCAGGAAAGAAACGUCGCGGGUUAAUACCCCGCGAAACUGACGGUACCUGCAGAAUAAGCACCGGCUAACUACGUGCCAGCAGCCGCGGUAAUACGUAGGGUGCAAGCGUUAAUCGGAAUUACUGGGCGUAAAGCGUGCGCAGGCGGUUCGGAAAGAAAGAUGUGAAAUCCCAGAGCUUAACUUUGGAACUGCAUUUUUAACUACCGGGCUAGAGUGUGUCAGAGGGAGGUGGAAUUCCGCGUGUAGCAGUGAAAUGCGUAGAUAUGCGGAGGAACACCGAUGGCGAAGGCAGCCUCCUGGGAUAACACUGACGCUCAUGCACGGAAGCGUGGGGAGCAAACAGGAUUAGAUGCCCUGGUAGUCCACGCCCUAAACGAUGUCAACUAGCUGUUGGGGCCUUCGGGCCUUGGUAGCGCAGCUAACGCGUGAAGUUGACCGCCUGGGGAGUACGGUCGCAAGAUUAAAACUCAAAUGAAUUGAC